CAGUGAUAAUGUUCUCAACUGCGAGAUAGUGUUACCCAAGUUCAAAGACUAUAAUUCAUCUAUCUAGGUACAGGAUUCGGGAAUUCAUCAUAGGUUUAGCAAUAAUCUCCGCUGUUAUAUUUUGAGCAAAUUUAUUCAUAUAUUUUAGGUUUAGGUUUACAAUUUUACUUCAUUUCUUAUGGGACAUUUUCUUUCAGGCUUUCAAUCAGUCACCACGGCGGCUAAUUCGUCGCAGUACUCAUUCAACUUCCAACCACGAAGGGCAGGGGUUAUACAUGGCAUCGCACAAUUCGUUCACAGGUAUCCAAAGAUGCUGCCGCCGUAGCUGCUGUUUGACCGGACUCCCCCUGUUCAUCAGGGGGAGUCCACCCGUCCC
rnacentral:misc_RNA from 1 species